AUGGCAAGUAGCAAUCUGCUUGACUGGCCAGAACCCAUUGUACCAGUGCAAACUCUUUCCAACUCUGGUAUGAGCUCCUUGCCACAACAGUACGUCAAGCCUCCAUCUGAGCGUCCUAGUGGUGUCACAAAUGACCCUAAUCUCAGUAUCCCAGUUAUCGAUCUUGCUAGCUUCUCUAAUACCCCUGAACAUCACCAAGAAAUGCUAAAAGCAAUAGCCUCUGCAUGCAAGAACUGGGGUUUCUUCCAGUUAGUGAACCAUGAUGUGGACACGGAGGCUGUGAGGAGGAUGAGAAGUGCAUGGAGGGAGUUCUUUGACCUCCCCAUGGAAGAGAAGAAGGCACAUGCCAACUUACCGGUAACAUAUGAGGGGUAUGGGAGCCGCCUUGGAGUUGAGAAAGGGGCAAUCUUAGAUUGGAGUGACUAUUACUUCCUUAAUCUCUUCCCAAGUGAUAUCAGAAACCUUGACAAGUGGCCAAAGAUUCCUACUGACCUGAGGGAAGCCACUGAGAAGUAUGCAUGCCAACUAAUAAGUCUCUGUCAAGUCUUGCUCAAGGCUAUGUCCAGUAGCUUAGGGCUGGAGGAGGACUACCUCCAUAAUGCUUUUGGUGGCAGUGAUGGCAUCUCGGCUACCAUGCGUGUGAACUACUAUCCAAGAUGCCCACAGCCUGAGCUCACCCUUGGUCUCUCAUCUCACUCUGACCCUGGUGGUAUCACUUUGCUCCUCACUGAUGAUAACGUCGAGGGGACACAGGUACGCAAGGGAGAUGCAUGGGUCACCGUGCAACCAGUCCCAGGUUCCUUCCUUGUAAACGUUGGUGAUCAGAUUCAGAUCCUGAGCAACGGGCGUUACAGGAGCGUGGAGCACCGUGCGCUGGUCAACUCGGACAAGGAGCGCUUCACCAUCGCCUUCUUCUGCAACCCUCGAGGCAACCUCCCCGUUGCGCCGGCGAGCGAGCUCGUCGGCCCGGGGUCGCCGGCGCUGUACCAGGAGGCCGUCACCUUCAGCGACUACCGCAAGUACAUACGCACCAAGGGCCCCAGCGGCAAGACGCAGGUGCAGUCCAUCAGCAGCGCCAUGCAGCCAGGGCCUGCAGCUUGA
rnacentral:rRNA from 1 species